rnacentral:rRNA from 1 species
CCCCAGUAACGGCGAGUGAAGCGGCAACAGCUCAAAUUUGAAAUCUGGUCCUUGCGGGCCCGAGUUGUAAUUUGUAGAGGAUGCUUUUGGCGAGGCGCCGCCCGAGUUCCCUGGAACGGGACGCCACAGAGGGUGAGAGCCCCGUCUGGCUGGCCGCCGAGCCUCUGUAAAGCUCCUUCGACGAGUCGAGUAGUUUGGGAAUGCUGCUCAAAAUGGGAGGUAUAUGUCUUCUAAAGCUAAAUACCGGCCAGAGACCGAUAGCGCACAAGUAGAGUGAUCGAAAGAUGAAAAGCACUUUGAAAAGAGGGUUAAACAGUACGUGAAAUUGUUGAAAGGGAAGCGCUCGUGACCAGACUUGGGCUUGGCGGAUCAUCCGGGGUUCUUCCCCGGUGCACUUCGCCUCGCUCAGGCCAGCAUCAGCUCGCUGCGGGGGAUAAAGGCGUCGGGAAUGUGGCUCCUCCGGGAGUGUUAUAGCCCGUCGUGAAAUACCCUGGGGCGGGCUGAGGUUCGCGCAUUACGCAAGGAUGCUGGCGUAAUGGUCACCGGCGACCCGUCUUGAAACACGGACCAAGGAGUCGUCCUCGUAUGCGAGUGUUCGGGUGUCAAACCCCUACGCGAAAUGAAAGUGAACGCAGGUGAGAGCUUCGGCGCAUCAUCGACCGAUCCUGAUGUUCUCGGAUGGAUUUGAGUAAGAGCAUACGGGGCCGGACCCGAAAGAAGGUGAACUAUGCCUGUAUAGGGUGAAGCCAGAGGAAACUCUGGUGGAGGCUCGCAGCGGUUCUGACGUGCAAAUCGAUCGUCAAAUAUGGGCAUGGGGGCGAAAGACUAAUCGAACCUUCUAGUAGCUGGUUUCCGCCGAAGUUUCCCUCAGGAUAGCAGUGUUGAACUCAGUUUUAUGAGGUAAAGCGAAUGAUUAGGGACCCGGGGGCGCUAUUUAGCCUUCAUCCAUUCUCAAACUUUAAAUAUGUAAGAAGCCCUUGUUGCUUAGUUGAACGUGGGCAUUCGAAUGUAUCAACACUAGUGGGCCAUUUUUGGUAAGCAGAACUGGCGAUGCGGGAUGAACCGAACGCGGGGUUAAGGUGCCAGAGUAGACGCUCAUCAGACACCACAAAAGGUGUUAGUACAUCUUGACAGCAGGACGGUGGCCAUGGAAGUCGGAAUCCGCUAAGGACUGUGUAACAACUCACCUGCCGAAUGUACUAGCCCUGAAAAUGGAUGGCGCUCAAGCGUCUUA